AACAAAACAUGCACAUAAUUUGAAAUUUGUUACGGAGACAAUGAAUGGAGAUUUAGGGACUUGGUUCCUCUUUGAUUAGAACCGUCCAAACUAUUAGGUUGUUGAAAACAAGUAUAAAACGUCUGCCUUCUAGCUUAAUGAAAUCAACAAAAAAAAUCAGAACUAUAGAGGAGUGAACGUGAGAGUAAUUUGAGUUCUUGGAGAACCAUAGAACCUUCACGGGGAGUACGUAGCAGUGGACCGUAGAGUAGCAAGAGUUAGCAAAUCUUACCAGGCUUGAGGUACCUCCCCUUUUUUAUAAAGAGGGUGACUAAGCAGCCAAUAUUGAAGGUGACCGAUCGGUCCAAACUGGAAGCAGACAAGCGAAGCGCACCAGUCGAAGCUAUGUGAUCUUACAAGAAAGGAAAAGCUCCAAGAACCAAGAUUGACCGUGGUGAUCAAAGACUUGAGGUUUCUUGAGAAGCAAGGCUUGUUGAUUUGAAACAUUUGAUCAAUCUACACAACUAGGUGUAUUUUGUGUGAUCAGGAUUUGCAAUCUUUGAAGAUUAGCUUGGAUUCCCUGUGGUGUUUGCAGGAACAAGAACAGUGUUCUUAACUUUGAGGGUGUCUCAAAGGGAUAAACAGUAGAAGAGGGUGUUCUUACUGCUGGUCUUGUCUGCUCAUUGCCUAUAUUUAGAUUAGAGGGUUAGAGAGGUGUUUUACACUUUUGACGUGAGGUCUCUAUAAAAACCUUGUUGUAAAAACCUUGAUCUUUUUAGUGCAUUUGCUUCCUGUGGUUGGAAGGACAUUGGAUGUAGGCAAGUUGGCCGAACCAGUAUAAAAAUGACCGUUUGAAUUCUUUGAUCCCU